rnacentral:lncRNA from 1 species
GAAUCCUUACAGGUUCCUUUCUGGUGACAUAAAAGAGCUCUUCACUAUGAGCAGACAAACAAGAGCCAAACCAAUGCCUCUUAGUGAUGAUAUUGGGCCUUAUGUUGUUCCUUUUCAACAUCAAACUGCUAACCAGUAUGGUAUGUUUUUUUUAUUUAAUCUGCAAAUUAUGAUAAUUCUUUGUUAUUUAUGUAUGGAAUUUAUUGGGAGGAAAUGCAGGAAAGAAUUCAUUUACGUGGUUUGGUCCAAGACCAAGGGUGAACAUUACGGACCCUGAAAAAAUAAGAGAAAUACUUAACAAAUUUAAUGACUUCCAGAAGAUACGUACCAAUCCUCUGCUUAAUUUGCUUGUAAGCGGCCUUGUUAACCUCGAAGGAGACCGAUGGAGCAAGCGUAGAAAAAUCAUAAACCCUGCAUUUCAUCAAGAUAAGUUGAAGGUAUAGAAUAGUGAUGGGUAAUCAGACUUUACAGAAAACAUCAUACUUAAACCAAUGCUUUUCUGAUUUAGAAAUAAUUGGAUGCAGAAUAUGUUGCCAGCAUUUUAUCAAAGUUGUAGUGACAUGUUAAGCAAAUGGGAGAAGAUGGUGUGUACAGAAGGAUACAGUGAGUUAGAUGUGAGGCCUUAUCUCGUAGAUUUGACAAGAGAUGUGAUUUCCCGAUCUGCUUUUGGAAGCAGCUUCGAAGAAGGCAAACGAAUUUUCCAAUUACUAGAGGACCAACUCGUUCUCACAAUCAAAUUAAUACAAACUGUUUACAUUCCAGGAUGGAGGUAACCGUCAACUUAAUUUACUUGAAAAAGGUUGCAAAUCUUGGAAUUGGCUAAAUUCGUGUUUGUUUUCUUGAAGGUUUUUGCCAACGAAGACAAACAGGGAGAUGAAGAUGAAACACAGAGACAUAAAAGAGUCGCUUAGGGAAAUGAUAAAGAGAAGGGAGAAGGCAAUUAAAGCAGGGGAAGAGAGCAAUGAGGACUUGUUGGACAUACUUGUGGAAUCCAAUAUCAGAGAAAUGGAAGCAAAGAAUAUGGGGAUGAGCAUUGAGGAUGUGAUUGAGGAAUGCAAGCUGUUUUACUUUGCUGGCCAAGAGACCACUUCGGUCUUACUGGUGUGGACUAUGGUUUUAUUAGCAAGGUAUCCCGAUUGGCAAAGUAAAGCAAGAGAGGAGGUUUUGCAUGUUUUGGGUGACAAUAAACCUGAUGCUGAUGGCCUUAAUCGUCUCAAAGUUGUAAGUCCCUAGCAUGUCUUUUGAAGGUCCGAUCAAUGAGGUCGACAACUCAAAAACUUUGUUUCUUUUUUCGCUAAUUCUACAGGUAACGAUGAUAUUGUACGAGGUUCUAAGGCUGUACCCACCGGUGGUUGAGCUAGGACGUUCCGUUCCAAAAGAAAUAAAACUGGGGAAUUUGUUGUUACCAGUAGGAACAGAAGUUUCGGUUCCGAUCCUGCAGAUCCACCAUGACAAAGAUCUUUGGGGUAACGACGCACGGGAAUUUAAGCCAGAGCGGUUCGCGGAAGGGGUUUCCAAAGCAACAAAGAGUCAAGUCACGUUUCUGCCAUUCGGAUGGGGUCCUAGGAUCUGUAUUGGCCAAAAUUUUGCUUUGAUGGAAGCCAAAAUGGCGAUGGCUAUGAUUCUCCAACGCUUCUGGUUCGAGCUUUCCCCUUCCUAUGCUCACUCUCCUUACAGCAGGGGAACUCUUCGUCCACAGCAUGGUGCACAGAUAAUUUUACAUAAACUUGGCUGUAAUUGAAUUGUUAUGUAAACAAAUCUUUGUGAAAACAUAGCGUUUUAGUGUAUCGUCAAAGUCCGGUGUCUGUAAUGGUACAAAUUCGAUGCAUGAAUAGUAAAUUUUGAGAUGUUUGGUGAAGUCCGAAAUAAUAUGCAGAAAUUGAGCGUCUAUGGUGGACAUAGUUGAGGGACUAAUGUGGUAAUUAUCAAUCAAAUAAUUCGGUACAAAGACUUGUAUGGAAAUUAAAGCAGGGGGAGUUGAAAAUGACUACUCUGCUUUGGGCAUCAAUUUAGAAAGAUUUAAAGUACAACUGUGUUAUCAGUUAAGGGAUUUGUUUUAAAGAGGGAAUGACAAUUAAACCUCAUGGUUUAUUUGUGCAAGGGAACCGAUGAUGGGAUGAUUAUUCUUAGUGGUAAAAAAAACCAUUAUGGAGGUUAUUACACUUGUUAUCAUCAGCUUAAAAUUCGAAUGGGUUCAAGUCGGAUUAUAUCGAGCUUGUAAGAUGAGUUCACGGACCAAGUUUGCAUAAUAAAAUACCUAAAUGAAAAAAAAUUCUAUUUUAGAGGGACGAGAGCCCCUAUCAACUCCCGGCUCAGCCACUAAACAAUACCUAUAUCAUAUAAAUAAAUACCACCAUCUAAAAGACUCAAAGAAAAACACUCAACAAAGGAUAAAUAGAUAGAUGUUGGAUAAGUGUCCAAAAUAUGAUUUAAGUGAAGAUACAUGUGGUAGGUGUUACGGAAAUGUGAAGACAAGAAUCCCACUAACGUAUGGGAUGUGUGCAGUUGAAUGUAGGGAGCAAAAAGAGGAGUGAAUCAUUUUGGUAACAUUUGGACAAGAAACAUAAUGAACAAAAUGGAAGGAGAGGAAGCUAGUAAAAGAAUUUUUUUGGGUCAUAUAAUUUGUUCAUUUUGGAGUUGAAUUAUAAUUUUUUUAUAUAUUAUUUUAAAAUUUUAAGGAGUUAAAACAAAAUUAUUUUAUUUUCAGAUGGUCAAAGUAGAGGUGAUAAUGGGUUGGGCUAUUCGGCCCGGCCUGACGAUUCACUCGAAAAAUAGGAGGGUUUAGGUAAAAAUAUAGGCUCGAAAUAGGGAUUUGAGCAAAAAAAGAGUCCCGUUUAGAAAAUGGGCCAGGCCUCGGGUAAAAUUUUUUGGGCCCAAGCCUGACCUGAAUUAUAUAUUAAAUAUAUUUUUUAAUUUUUAAUCAAAUAUACUUUUUUUUAUUAAUUUGGUUAUUAUUUUAGUUCUAAUUUGUUUCAAUUUUAAUAUAACCACUUUUUAUUAUAUUUUCAAUUUGUGUAUUGUUUUAAGAAUUGUUUUAGUCUCAUUUUUUUAUUUAUUUUUUGUUUUAAUAAUUGUUUUAAAAAUUUUUAUUUAAUGAAAUAAGCUAAAAAAAUUAAUAUGGGCUUGGCCAGGCCAGGCUCGGGCCUAGUAAUUUUCUUUUGGGCCGGACUUAGAUAAAAUUUUAAGCCCAUAUUUUAAAUUGGGUCCUAACCUAAAAAAUGAACCUAAAAUUUUAUAUGGGCCCGACUUGGCCCUUGAUUACCUUUAGGUCAGAGCUAUCCUCGUUUUGCAUUUCUUUGAGAUUCAGCCUUAUCUACUGUGAUUGCCCACUCAAUUGAGGGUUGAGUAGAAAGAUUUGGUGAAGCAAGCUAAGCUAUCAAUCAAGGUUUGCAUAAUUAUUUAAAUGUAAUUCUAAUAUUAAAAUAAUUUUUUUAUUAAUAUAGUAUCAACAAGCAUUAAAUGUAAUGAUCAUAUACUAUUACAUUUUAAAGAAGAGAAAACAUGUUUGAACUUUAAAAACCACGUUACUAAAAACAUUAUCACAAACCUUGAAAUAUAAAAAAUAAUUUUUUUAAUAUAAUAAAAAAUUAAUUUUAAACCCGAGCUGAAUAAAAUUCUAAUUUUAGUUAAUGAUACGAACAACAAAUCAAUAUUCUAAGCCCGAGCCCUGCUCAUUUUUUUAAUAAACACCAAAAAUUUAUUUUGAAAAUAAAAAAUAAAAAAAAUAUUUUAAAAAUAUUUUAAAAAUAAAAAAAAUUAAAAAUAAAUAUUUAUUAUAUAUUCAGGCCGGGCCGGGCUAGCCUUGGGCUAAAAAAAUGGUGCCCGAGGCCCGGCCCAUUUUCUAAAUAGGCCUCAUUUUUUGUCCAAACCCAUAUUUUGGGCCUAUAUUUUUACCCGAACCUCUCAUAUUUUGGGCGGACCGUCGGGCCGGACCGGGCCGCCCGGCCAUGAACACCUCUAGGGCAAAGUCACUCAAUGAAUGCAUGGAAAGAAAUAUUGCAACUUGGUGACAGCUUUUGUUGGAGUUAUAUGCUUUUUUUUACAUAGUGGAACUUUCGGUGGAUUUUCAAGUUUCAUGAACUUUAUACCCUAGGCUUUACGUGAAAAAAAUCAUUGGACUUAAAAGUCUACCAAAAGUUUCACUAUAAUAAAUAAAUAAAUAAAUAACAUUGCUACAAGACUACAACAUAAAGUUACAAUAAGAGCUUAUAACUCAACAAAGGCUAUCAAUAAAUAAUCUCAAGCAAGCUAAAGAGAAAUGUUGAGAGUACCACUCAAAUAGUGAUUGACUUUAAAAAUUGAAAACCCGAAGUUAUUGUUGACACCAUUUUUUGGAUGAAAAUGUGUCGACUUGGGUUUUGAAAAUGAAAACGAAAACGAGAGUCGCCACCAAUCCUUUUUGAUAAGGUGUGACUGGGUCACCUUGAAAAGUGGUUGUUUUUAAUAAACGAUUUGAUUUUAUUAAAACAACAGUUUUGGUCCACGAAAUUCAGAAAAAUGAGUUCGGGAGUCGGUUACGCACGAGGAAGGAUUAGCACCCUCGAUACGCCCAAAAUUGGUACCUAGUUGAUUACUUAAUGUCUUAAUGUCGAAAAUUGAAAACUUUGGAGAAUUUUAAACAUACGAUCCUUGUAUUAAAACGUUAAAAAUUUUCAAGAAAAUGGGAUAUUUCACGUUAUUCGAUAAAGAGAAUCAUAUCCUAGUAAGUUAGGACACAAUAUCUCGAAUUUCCGAUAUCAUUUAAAACUUGAGUUUGAAAAGAUUCGUGUAAUAAAGUUUAAAAUAAUAUUCAAUUGUUUAAAUCAAAUGAAGAAAUCGCAACCCAAUACGUUAGGGCACAAUUUCUCAAAAUAUUAAACAUUGAAUAUUGCAUUUAUUUCGAAAAAUCCUCAUCUCGAGAAAACGUGUCACAUCCAAUGCAUUAGAAUACAACGUAUUGAAUUCUCGAUAACGAGCUUUUUCUCAUUUUUUAAAAGAGUAAUCUCGAUUAUUUAGGUUCAACGAAGAAAAUCAAAACCCAAUACGUUAGGGCUCGAUUUUCUCAAAGAUUCCAAAUACCGAGUAUUACUUAUAUUUUUAAAAUUUCUUUUUUGAAAUCCGAGUAAAAAUGAAUGCAAAAUAAUAAAUGAUGACAAUGUAAAUAAAAUGAUACAAGCAAAACAAUAAACAAUAAAAAUAAUCAUACGGGCAAGGUAACAAAUAAUUAGGAACUAAAGAAAGAGAACAAACAAUAAUAAACAUGCAAAUAAAUGAACAAAAUUAACAACAUGAUGCAAAUAUGAAAGAUAUAUAAGCACAUAUAUAUACAUAAAAUAAUGAGAAUAUGAAAAAAUGUGUGUAAUUGGACAUGUUUCGGAAUUAUUAUACAUUUAAAAAUCAUGUAAAUGUGUGUACAUACAUAUAUACAUAUAUAAUAAUCAUUAAAUAUAUAAAAAUACAUAUGUGUAGGUAUAUAUGAGUCAUAAAAUGUAAAGAAUAUAUACAAGAUAUAUUUUGAACGUAUAAAGUAUAUGUAAAUGUAUAUAUAUAAUAAAGGUGUAUGAAAGCAUAUUUUAUAUACGUGUAUUUAUAAAAUGUAUAUAAAUGUAUAUUGAUUUACCAAUACAUAUGGAUUUAUAAUUAUAGAAUAUAUAUAAAAUAUUUACAUAUAUACGUUUAUGCAUAUAUAAAAGUAAGUUAUUAUAAAAUAUGAGCAAGCAGAAUACAUAAAUAUAUAUACAUAAAAUAAAAAUGAAGAUGAAAAUAAUAUAAAACUACUUAAUAUAUUAAUAUAAUAGUAACAAAUUAAAAAAACAGAAAAUAAAGCUAAUAAUAAUUAAUAAUAGUAGUAAUAAUUAUAGCAGCAAUGAUAAUGAUAAUAAUAAUAACACUAAAAAAAUUAAUUAAAUAAUAAAAUUGCUAAAAAGGGAUUAAAUCGAAAUAAAAACAUAAAUACUGGGCGAUUUUGAAAUAAAAAACGGGAAGGACCGAAUUGCAACGCGCGUUGAAAAGGAAAGGGCCAAAACUGCAAAUAAACCACAGCCCCAAAACGCAGCGUUGAAAUGGACCAAGUCGAAAUAAAAAUAAAAUUGCAGGGGCUAAAUUAAAAAUAAGAGAAAAUAACGAAAAAUGAUCAAAUUGUAAUACGCUGCAAAAUCAGGGGGACUGCACGCGCAAAUAGCCCAAAAACUGAAAACACGCGGAUCCUCCGGGUCGGGUCGGGUCGGGUCAGGUCGACGUGCGGAUCCCCUUUGCUAAAACGGCGUCGUUUCAUGUUUAAUAUAAAUACUAAAAAAAGCUAAAAAAAACAGUUUCAUCUUUUUUUAAAAAAAACAGAGAGAAAACUCUCUCUUUUUCCCUCAGGUCCGGCCAUGGUCCGGCUUGGGAUUUCCGACGAGUCUCCGCCGCAAAGCCACCGUGUGUGGCGGCCGGAGGUUCAAAAUCAGACCUUUUUGGUCCUUUUUUAAAGUCCAUGGCCUCCAAGCCACAGAUCCGGGGCUGAAUCUCCUGAAUCGAAAGCCGAAGACCCAAAAAAUGGGGUGAAAUCCUUCGCCUUCCUCCCCCUUCCGGCGCUGCGCAGGUAAGGUUUUUUUUAACUCCUUUUUUACUAUCUUUAUUUAUAUAUAUACAUGAAGAGAAAAGAGAGCAAAAUAAAUAAAUAAAUAAAAACUUCAAAACUGAAGAGAAAAAGACCUUGAAUCUGCCUUAUUUAUUUUCUUUCGGUUGAAUCUGUUUUUGUUUGUUACAAAAGUUUCCAGGGAAGAGAAAAAAAAAGAGAGUUACAUGCUUGGCUUUUAUAGCCGAUAUUAAUUUCUAUUUUUUGUUUUCUUUUUCCUUUCUUUUCUUUGGCUGUUGCGUGUUUGCUUCCUUAUUGCAGGGUGAUUGACGGGAGUGGUUGGCGACAGAGUCGGUGGCCACUUGCACUGAUGAAGCAGCGGUGGCGGCGCUAGGGUAGGCUAGGGACGGCGGCAGUACUAGGGUUUCAGAAAACUGAAACCCUAGUUUGACAAAUUGGUUUCGGGCCUGUUGGGCUUUAAAUUAUGGGCUUUGUAAUUGGGUUUUGGGUUUAGGUGAUUUGGGUUUAGGUGGUAUGGGCCCGGGUCAAAUUUUGGGUAAUGGGAUUGGGGCAAAAUUGGGUUGUACAGUUAUAAUAUCCCAAACGAAAUCAAACUAUAAACAUUAAAUUUUUCGAGUCUUCUAGAUACUGUAAAAAAUUCAGCUCCAACGGACACCAAAUGAACCUAUGAUCGAAGAAAAUACGAAGACUAGUCUGGCUAAAUCAAUCUGCCAAACUUACUUUUUAUCUUAUCUUUAAUUUGCUGUGAAAUUCAAAACUACGUGUAAUACUCAAUUUAUGCUCGACCCAUUUUGUUAAAACAAAUAAAAAAGAAAAGAAAAACAAAAUAUUUAAAUUUAGCCCAAAUGUCCAUUUACACAGCCCAAUUACAAUUGCAAAUAAAAAAAACUAAAACUAAACCCGAUCCUAAGCAUCAGCCCAAAUUCGACCCAUGCCCAAAACGAAUUCAGAUGCAGAAACCCUAGCCCAGCCUUAAUGCAAGCAAAAGUCGAAAGCCCUAAUAGUUGGUGCGCCGCUCCUGUAACAGCCCGAUUUUGGGCCUAGUCGGAACAGUGGUUUUGGGACCACAAAUCCGACGAGAAAAAAAUGUAAUGGCCCGAAUUUUCAGAGGUGUCAGAACGGUGAUUCGAGAUCACUAAAUUCGACAAAUGGGUAGAAAAUAUUAUUAAUUUAGUAAGUAUAAGUUAAAUGUGAAGUUAGGAAAAUUUUUGAAAUGGUGAAUAGUACACUAGAAAUAAAUAUUAAAAUAAUUAGAAUCGAAAAUGAGGUAUCGAGACCUCGGGGAUUUUAAACCGAGCCAUAAAUAUUUUUAUAAAUAUUUAUGUAGUCUUAAAAAGUUAGUAUUAAAGUUUCGUUAAGAAAUUUUAAAGUUCCGAUAAUUAAUUGAACAAAAAGGACUAAAUUGUAACAAAUACAAAAUUAUGAGAAAUGAUUAAAUAGUUUAAAUGAUAAAAGGAAGAGGGCUUAAAAGGUAAAUAGACCCAAGGUCUAUUUGGGCUGCACGGCAAAGGCAUGAAAUCAGCAACAAAGUAAGGAGAAUUAAGGGCAAAAUUGGAAUAUUGCAAAAUUUACUUAAUAAAGUUAGGACCAAAGUGGAAUUAUCUAGAUUUCUCUUUAUUUUUCUGCAUUAUCAUCAGCAUAAACACCAUAGAAGGGUUUUCUUAAGCUGGUUCUUCCUAUUUUUACUGCAGGUAAGUUCAAUUCUUGAUUAUUUCUUGAAAAUUUUGUGUUUUUGUGACUUUUACAACUAGGCCCACUUAUUGUAUUCAUUAGUUUUUGAUUCUAUGAAAGAAGUUGAAAGUUGCUAUGAAUACAUGCUGGAAGUAUAUGAUGAUUUAGCAUGGAAUUAGAGCUUUAAAUUGUUCAUAUGCUGAUUUAUUGAAAGAAUUGAAUAGAAAGUGAAUGUUUGGGACCUAAUAGUAAAAGAGUUUGAAGAUAGAGUUAUAUGUGGAAAUUCUGAAUUUCAAUAGUUGUGAAACAACUUAUAAUGUCUAGGUUAAGUAUUAAUUGAGAAAAUUAAAUUAAUUGAGGGGUUAAUUGAGAAAGGACCGAAUUGUAUAAACUGUGAAAUUUGGGGCAAAAAGGAAAUCAACAUUUUACACUAAAGCAGUUUUGGACAGCAGCAGUAGUAUAACUUUGAAAAAUCACCAAAAAUUUUGAGAAUUGAAUUAGAGGGUGAAUAAAAUAUAAAAUUAAAGCUCCUUGAAUCUAGUUUCUCAUAGAAGAAACGGUGUAAGCAAUGGAAUUGUAAAUCAUGAGAUAUAAUAAAUUUUGUGAGACAAUGUCAUAAUGAUUUCGGGUUCCCCUAUUCUGACUUUGGAAAAUCAUCAAAAAAUUAAGAAAAAUAUGAGUUAUAAUUUAUAUGAUUACAAUCCUUAAUGAGUCUAUUUUCAAAGAAAAUAAACGGAAAUAUCAUCCAAAUUCUGUACAAUUAUAUAAUUCAUUUUUAGUGAAGAGUGGUCGAAACUGUCAGACAGCGAAAUAGGGGGAACUUUAAAGAAUAAACUGUACUAUUUGGCUGAACCAAAAAUUCUGAAAAUUUUAUGGUAAGAAGGUAUGUGAGUCUAGUUUUAAGGAAAAUUAACGGAUCUUAAUUUAGAGCUCUGUAGCUCUAGAUAAAAAUAAUUUAGUGACUCUGACUCAGAUAAAUAGCUUUGAAUGUACAUGUGAGUGAAUAGUGAAAUUAUAGCUAGUGUUGUUUAAGUGUGUUAUACACAUUAAGGAUAUGGAAUGGAGAGGAGGAGGAGGAGGAAAAAUUGGGAAAUAUAUGAAUGAUUUGUGUAUAAUUGGUCAUAUGCUUAAUUAUAAUUGAUAAACGAUGAAAUAGAAAUGAUGCAUAUAUUUGUGCAGUAUUGGUCAUGGUUUAAGCUCAUGUGGGAAAAUAAAGUUUAUAGUACGUGUGUAUUAUAUUUUUGGUAUAUGAUUUGGCAUUAAGUAAUGUCGUGAAUGGAUAUUGAAUUAACACAUGUUGGAAAGUUUGAUAUAUGAAUAAAUAUUGUGAUCAUGAAAGAGUGUUACAGCUCCUGCCUUCAGCACGCGUCGAGCCUCCGCGCCAAAUCCACGUGAGCCUCCGUACACUCCAACUAGCCUCCGUACCUGCAACAAACAAAAGUAGACAAAACAACAGCAAAGGAUAGGAAGAAAAGGCAGUAAAUAGUGAAGAUUUUUCUGUAAUUUUCUUUGGAUUUCAUUAUGUAUUUUCGGCUAUAAAAGAGCCAUUAGGAAUAUUUGUAAAGGGUUUUUUUUUUACCCUCACACACAAAGAGAAUAUACACGCAUACAAGAUCAAUAUAGAGAAAGAAAUAAAAAUAAAUAAAUACAAAGAAUAGAAAAUCAAGUUUCGAAGGUGAUUCUUUGAAAAAUCCUUUUCGUUUUUCUCAUUUUUCCUUUUUCCUGGAUCUUUUGUUCAUUUCAAGUAAAAAAAGUAUAGAAAGGAAACAAGUUUAGAGGAAGGAGGUUUACCUGGACGCCGGACCUCGCUCGCCUCGUCGAAAUCGAAGGCUGAGAGGGGAUAAAUCGGUUUUGCGGCAGAAGGAAAGGGGGGCUAGGGUUCUUGUUUUAACUUUUUUAAAAAAAAUAGAAAAGGUUGCUAAUUAGGUUUUAAUGGGGGAUUUAUGUGUGUUAAAAAAACGACGUCGUUUAGCGACCUUUGACCCGUGCGGUGACCCGACCCGAGGAAAGGAUCUGCGCGUUUUGGGUCUGAUGGGUUUAUUGCGCAACAAGCCCUUCCGCAUUUGUUUUUCGUUUCAAUUCGGUUUUUAUUUGUUUUUUAAUUGUUUUCUCAUAUUUAGUUCCAAUUUCAAUUGGGUCCAUGAUUAAACGACAUCGUUUUCAUUGAUUGGGUUUGAAGGCCUGGUUUUGUGCGUCUAAAUUGCAGCAAUGGUCCCCCUGAUGUGCAAUAGUUCUCGAUUUAGUCGUCUCCACACUUAUUUCAAAGUCGUCCUUGAGAUUUUGUUUUAUUUUUGAAAUUGUCCUUGUCUUCUUUUAAUUUAUAAUGAUAUUAUUAUUAUUGUUGUUGUUAUUAUUACUAUUAAUAUGGGUAUUGUUAUCAUGUUAGUUUAUAUCUAUUUAUUUACUUUUAUUUUAUUAUGUAUUAUUAUAUAAUGCUUUUAUCAUGUAUCAUUUUAUAUAUUUUCUAUGUUAAUCUAAUAUGAUAUAUAUAUAUAUAUGUAUUUUUGUGAUCUUAUUUUAUAAUACUUUUUUAACCCAUUUAUAUGCCUUUAUGUUUUAAAGAUUUAUAAUAUUUUGUGCAAAACUAUUAUAUAUAUAUAUAGAUAUACAAUUUAUAUUAGACCAUUUUUAUCGUACAUAUACGUAUAUAUAAUUUAUAUUUUGAAACUCUAUUUUAUUAUAUUUUAUGCCUCUAUAUACAUCAUUAUAUGUUUAUUAUUCUUUAUAUUAAACCUGCCAUUUCACUUAUAUAUUUUUAAAACCAAUGUGUAUUAUUCUUUCUUCUUUGUUAUUUUUUAUCUCUUAAAAUAGAUUGAUAAUUCAUUUAAUUUUUGAAUGUUGUAUGACCGAGAUUAUCGUUGCCAUUCUUGUCCAAAUUUAUCCAUUGCUUGUUCAUAUUAUUUGAUAAUUUAUCGCUCACUAGCAUGUAUCGUAAUUUACGAAUUAUCAUUUUGAAUUAUGUACUACCAUUCAAUCGCAUUACAUUUGUUUGGAAAACAUCGAAAUCGUUUUGCACAUAAACCUUCAAAAUGCUUGGUAUCCAAAAUUCUCGAGAGGAUUGUGCCCUAAUUUAUUGGGCUUCAAUUCCCCUUUUUGAUUUUAAAUAACCGAAUACCCCUUUUUCAAUUUGAACAUAGAAAUUCCAAAAUAAAAAAAAACUCAUUCUCGGGAAUUUGAUGCGUUGUGUCCUAACGUAUUGUAUAUGACAUAUUUUUCUCGAGACGAGGAUUUUUCUAACAAAUAAAAAUAAAGGCAAUAUUCGAUAUUUAGGAAUUUUGUGAAAUCGAACCCUAACUUACUGGGUUUUGAUUUUUUCAUUUGACCCAAGUAGGAUAUCCUUCACAAAUGCACAGAUUUUAAAAAAUCAAAAGAUAAACUUAAUUUCGAGGAUUUAAAAUGUUACACUCUGACUUACUGAGUGUGUCAAUUUAUUUCUUUGAAAUAAGUGAGUCUUAUCAUCCAAUUUAUUUUAUUCAAAUUUUCUUUUCCAAGGAUCGUAUUUUAAAAUUUUUUCAAAAUUUCGACAUUAAGACAUUAAGCAAUCAAUUCAGUACCAAUUUUGGGCGUCACGAGGGUGCUAACUCUUCCUCGUGCGUAAUCGACUCCCGAACCAGUUUUCUCAAAAUUCACAGACCUAAAAUUAUUUUCAAGGUGAUCCGAUCACACCACAAUAAAAGAUCAGUGGUGACUCCCAUUCCUAUUUUUAAAAGUCGAUUCCUGUUUUUCAUAUAUAAAAAAAUGGUUUCGACACUACGGUUUUGUUUGUUUCCCUUAGAACAACUUUCAAAAAGUUAAUUUUGAAAAAUGGAUUGAAUUUUCAAAAUAGAUGAUAUUUUUUUGUGUUAAAAUUUUAUUCGUUGUUUGAAAAAAAAAUUUAAAUCAUUUUCUUAGAAUUAUUUUUAGUGAAACAAAUAUAUCAUAAAUAUAUUUGUUAUAAAAUAUUAUAUUAAUAUUUUCUUUUAACAAUUAAAAUAUAUUUUGUGAUAAGGUAAUAUUUUAUAAUAAUUAAUAUCAUAUAUACUUAAUAAUAAAUCAUGUCUAAUUAAAAUUUAAUUUCAAUUAAAUAUAUUAAUAAAGCUACAUUUAAUCAUAUUUUAUAUAAUUAAAAUAUUAAUAUAAAUAUUUUUCAAUAAUAUAUUAAAGAAUAUUUAAAAUUUAAAUUUAUUAUUACUAAGAUUAAUUAUUAAAACAAAAAUGUAAUAUUAAAUAAUUUAUCCAAUGAUAAGUUAUAUUAAUAAUUUAUUAUAUUAUUAAAUAUAAAUAAUUAAAUAUGUAUGUUUAAUAAUAUUAUGUUAUAAUAUUUAUUACUAAUAUUUUAAUAUUUUUAAACAACCAUGUUUUAAAGAUGGUGGUGAUGGUGAUGGUGCAGGCCCCCUUGUUAAAAUUACAAUAUUUUUAAGUGGGAUGCAUGUAAUAUAUUGUUAGGGUUUUAGAGUAUGUGGUCUUUAAAAGGGUUAAAUUAUAUAUUUAUAUAAUAUGAUUAUUGUUUAUAAACAUAAUAUUGUAGAUAAGUUUAUAUGUAUGUCAAUAUGUAUCCUACUCUAAGGUUAAUAUGUAUUUUUUAGAUGUGGGUUUACCUAUAUAAUAGUAUGAAUCCAUCAUGUGGUCUCAUGAAAUAUACAAACACAUAUCGUGCGAACACAAAGUACGAACAAUAAAAAAUACAAAUCAAGACCCAAUUGAAUAAUUGAAUAACGGAUAGGUAAUAAUGAAUAUCAUAACAUUUACUAUCCCCUCUUUUCUAGUGAGUUAUUGUUUAUGAUAAAUUUGCAACAAAUGUUUUUAUCAUUAUUUUGUUGGUAAAUGAUAAUAAGAUUAAACAUUACUUUCUUAAGCUCCUUCAAUUCUUUGGACGUUAGCGAGUAAACUUGAGCUUCAGCAUUCCACAAACACCUUAAUUUGAAGACACAGUUCUCUCAUACUAAAAACGACAUGGACGUUUACCUUGUAAUUAGAGAUUUGGGCUCAUUGUUGGGUUAUUAAUGAUACGGGGAUGGAGAGCUUUAAACUGGGUAUGGUUGGCCCCAAAGAGGCUCGAAACGUGCUUGAGACUAGAGGUGAUCAAGGGCCGGGUUAGGCCCAGUCUAGAAAAAAAAUUAGGCCCAUUUUUUAGAUUUGAACUCGGCUCGGCUCAAAAUAUAAGCUUAAAAAUUUGUCUAAGUUCAGUCCGAAAGAAAAUUGUUAAGCCCAAGCUCGACCCAUAUUAAAUUUUACAACACCAAAAAAGUAUAUUUAAAUAAAAAUAAAAUAUAUAUAUUUAAUAUAUAAUUCGGGCCGAGCUGAACUCGGGCCAAAAAAGUUUUACUCGGGGCUGGUCCGUUUUCUAAACAGACUUCGUUUUUUUUGCCAAAAUCCAUAUUUUUACCCGAAUCUUCCUAUUUUUUGGGGUGUGCCGUCGGGCCGAACUGGGUAACCGAACCAAUGAUCACCUCUGUAAUCACUGAAUUUUGUCCGGGAAUAACUUUCGUUAAAAAAAUUUUAAAAUUAAAAAAAAAUUAACUUUUUUGCUUUUUGACCCCUAAACUUUUCUAAAAUUUCAUUUUAACCCCUAAACUUUCUCAAAAUUACAGUUCAACCCCUAAACUUUUCUAAAUUACAUUUUGACCCCUAAAAUUUCUUAAAAUUACAUUUGGACCCUUACACUUUCUCAAAAUUACGUUUCGGCCCCAAAAUUUUUGCUACAUUUACAAAUUGGUCCUUCUGUCAGAAAAUCCCCAAUAAUCCGGCGGAUUUCGUGCACCUGCCCCACUAUUUCCGGCAGCCGGCCUAGGGCAUGGCCUUCCCCACCUGCUACCUGCAAACAAGAAGCAAAAUCAACUAUAAAAAGGAGUUUAAACUCCAAAAAUCGGACCCCCACCCACGAAAAAAAUAAAAAAAAAAAACUUGAAAGAAAAAGAAAAAAGCUUUGAGAAAGAAAAAGAAAAGGAAAAGAAGAGAGGGGAGAAGGAGAGGCCGACCAUCGGCGAGCCACCGGAGGAGGCGACGGCAGCAGCGGCAUCGACGGCGGCGUAGAAGACCGAACGGAGAAGAAGAAGAAGAAGAAAAAAAAAGAAAGAAGAGAAAGAAAGAAGGAAGAAGAAGAAGAAAGAAACAAAAAAAAAAGAAAAUAUUUUGUAAUAGUCGGCCCGGCCCGACUCGACCUGCACGACCCGUGACCCGACCCGACAGCACCAGCAACCUAGCAGGCCACGGUAGCAGCCCGGCGGCCCAAAGAGUAGCCCAAAAAGAAAAAAAGAAGAAGAACAAAGCAAAAAAAAAAAGCAGGCCAUUUUCAGCAGGCCCAGUGCAGCCCAGCAGACCCAGCGAACCCAGCAGGCCAGGCCCACACGCAAGCAGCCCAACAGAAAAAAAGGGAAAGAAAAAGAAAAGAAAAAAGAAAAAAGAAAAAAGAAGAAGAAGGGGUUCAAUUUGUAUUAUCCGUUCGGCGAAGCUCGUGUUUUGAGGAUUUUUUUUCGGUAAUUUUAUUUUUUAAUUUUAAUUUAAUGCUCGUAUUUUUUUUAAAUAUUAUUAGUAUUUUAUGCAUUUUUAUAUUUUGGCAUUUAUAUUUUUAAUUUAAUUUACUUCAAUUUUUAUUUUAUUUUAUUUUAAAUAAUUUUAAUAAAUGAGGCAACGAAUCGAUUUAACAUAAAAUCGUUGAUUUCAUUGCUAUGUUGGGUGAAUAUCAUCGGUUUGUGUUAAACACGAUACACCCUUUUUAAAAAAAAGAAAAAAAUCGAAAAAAUUCUAAAAUUCUCAUUUUUUUAAAAUUCUCGUGUUUUAAUAGAAUCACGAUUAAAUAUUAAGUUGAAUCGAUUUGGCACUAAUUCGAUGAUUUCAUCUCCAUGUAGGGAUGAAUAUCAUUUAUUCGUGUUAAAUAUGGUACUUCUGAAAAAAAAUCGGGUUUCAAAAAUUUUCGUGUUUUCAAAAAUUCUCAUGUUUCAAAAAUCUUCGUGUUUUAAAAAUUCCAGUGUUUCAAAAAUUUUCGUGUUUUCAAAAAAAAAUUUCUCGUGUUUUUAAAAAUUCCCGUAUAUCGAAAUUUUCUUGUUUUCAAAAAAAAAAUUCCAUGUUUCAUAAAUUUCCGUGUUUUCAAAAAAAAAUUCUUGUUUUUCAAAAAUUUUCGUUUUUAAAAAAUUUGACCGUGUUUCAUAAAUUUUCGUAUUUCAAAAAAACCUCGUGUUUCAAAAUUUUCGGGUUUUUUUAAAAACAAUUCGUGUUUCUAAAAUUCUCGUAUUUUAAAAAAAAUCGUGUUUUCAAAAAAAGAAAAAGUUGUUGUGCUUUAAAAUUAUCGUGUUUCAAUCGGAUCACGAUUAAUAUUAAAUUGAACUCGUAUUUUUGAAAAUGAAAACAACGCGCGUUUAACGAGAUACCAAUUUUGGGCGUCGCGAGGGUGCUAAUACCUUCCUCGCGCGUAACCGACUCCCGAACCUUAAUUUUCUCUGAAUUUUUACGUGGACCUAAAAUUACCUCUUUUUAGAAAAGUUUAAAAAUGAAUUUUUCUUCUAAAAAGAGAAUUUUGUAGGUGUCCGAUCACACCUAAAAAAAGAUCGGUGGCGACUCCUUUUUUUCAAAUAAAAUCGAGAUUCAGUUUUCAAGUUUUUAAUAAUUACUUCGACAAGCGCCCGUGCGCAAAAUUUUUAAGUCGCUACAGCCUCUACUUGAGACAACAGGGUUUUGCAGGGAAUUCUUACAGGUUCGUUUCUGGCGACAAAAAAGAGCUCUUCACUAUAAGCAUACAAACAAGAGCCAAAACUAUGCCUCUUAGUGAUGAUAUUAGGCCUUAUGUUAUUCCUUUUCAACAUCAAACCGUCAACCGGUAUGGUAUGUUUUUUUUAUUUAAUCUGCAAUUUGUGAUAAUUCUUUGUUAUUUAUGUAUGGAAUUUAUUGGGAGGAAAUGCUGGAAAGAAUUCAUUUACGAGAAUUGGUCCAAGAUCAAGGGUGAACAUUACGGACCCUGAAAAAUAAGAGAAAUACUUAACAAAUUUAAUGACUUCCAGAAGAUACGUACCAAUCCACUGCUUAAUUUGCUUGUAAGCGGCCUUGUUAACCUCGAAGGAGACCGAUGGAGCAAGCAUAGAAAAAUCAUAACCCUUGCAUUUCAUCAAGAUAAGUUGAAGGUAUAGAAUAGUAAUGGGUACUCAAGACUUUAAAGAAAACAUCAUACUUAAGCCUAUGCUUUUCUGAUUUAGAAAUAAUUGGAUGCAGAAUAUGUUGCCAGCAUUUUAUCAAAGUUGUAGUGACAUGUUUAAGCAAAUGGGAGAAGAUGGUGUGUACAGAAGGAUACAUUGAGUUAGAUGUGUCGCCUUAUCUCGUAGAUUUGACAAGAGAUGUUAUUUCCCGAUCUGCUUUUGGAAGCAGCUUCGAAGAAGGCAAACGAAUUUUCCAAUUACUAGAGGACCAACUCGUUCUCACAAUCAAAUUAAUACAAACUGUUUACAUUCCAGGAUGGAGGUAACCGUCUACUUUAAUUUACUUGAAAAAGGUUGCAAAUGUUGGAAUUGGCUAAAUUCGUGUUUGUUUUCUUGAAGGUUUUUGCCCACAAAGACAAACAGGGAGGUGAAGAUGAAACACAAAGACAUAAAAGAGUCGCUCAGGGAAAUGAUAAAAAGAAGAAAGCAGGCAAUUAAAGCAGGGGAAGAGAGUAAUGAGGACUUGUUGGACAUACUUGUGGAAUCCAAUAUCAGAGAAAUGGAAGCAAAGAAUAUGGGGAUGAGCAUUGAGGAUGUGAUUGAGGAAUGCAAGCUGUUUUACUUAGCUGGCCAGGAGACCACUUCGGUCUUACUGGUGUGGACUAUGGUUUUAUUAGCAAGGUAUCCCGAUUGGCAAAGUAAAGCAAGAGAGGAGGUUUUGCAUGUUUUGGGUGACAGUAAACCUGAUGCUGAUGGCCUUAAUCGUCUCAAAGUUGUAAGUCCCUAGCAUGUCUCUUGAAGGCCCGAUCUCUGAGGUCGACAACUCAAAAACUUGGUUCUUUGUUUCGCUAAUUCUACAGUUAACAAUGAUAUUGUACGAGGUUCUAAGGCUGUACCCACCAGUGAUUGAGCUAGGACGUUCCGUUCCAAAAGAAAUAAAACUGGGAAAUUUGUUGUUACCAGCAGGAACAGACGUUUCGGUUCCAAUCCUGCAGAUCCACCAUGACAAAGAUCUUUGGGGCGACGCCGCACGGGAAUUUAAGCCACAGCGGUUCACGGAAGGGGUUUCCUAAGCAACAAAGAGUCAAGUCACGUUUCUGCCAUUCGGAUGGGGUCCUAGGAUCUGCAUUGGCCAAAACUUUGCCAUGAUGGAAGCUAAAAUGGCGAUGGCUAUGAUUCUCCAACGCUUCUGGUUUGAGCUUUCCCCUUCCUAUGCUUACUCUCCUUACAACAUGGCAACUCUUCGUCCACAGCAUGGUGCACAGAUAAUUUUACAUAAACUUGGCUGUAAUUGAAUUGUUAUGUAAGCAAAUCUUUGUGAAAAUAUAGUGUUUUAGUGUAUCGUCAACGUCUGUCUGUAAUGGUACAAUUCCGAUGCAUGAAUAGUAAAUUUUGAGAUGUUUGGUGAAGUCCGAAAUAAUAUGCAGAAAUUGAGUGUCUAUGGUGGACAUAGUUGAGGGACUAAUGUGGUAAUUAUCAAUCAAAUAAUUCGGUACAAAGACUUAUAUGGAAAUUAAAGCAGGGGGAGUUGAAAAUGACUACUCUGCUUUGGGCAUCAAUUUAGAAAGAUUUAAAGUACAAAUGUGUUAUUAGUUAAGGGAUUUGUUUUAAAGAGGGAAUGACAAUUAAACCUCAUGGUUGAUUUGUGGAAGGGAACCAAUGAUGGGAUGAUUACUCUUAGUGGUGAAAAAAAAACUAUUAAGGUGGUUAUUAUAGUUGUUAUCACCAGCCUAAAAUUUGAAUAGGUUCAGGUCGGAUUAUAUUGAGCUUGCAAGAUUAGUUCACGGACCAAACUUGCAUGAUAAUAGGUAUUCACAACAAGAUAUCUAUAGUUUCCAACAAAGUCACAUGUGAGAUCGUGCAUUAGAACCGCAUAAACAUGUUUUAUGUUUAGAAUAUGAUAUGUGUCUAUGUGUAUAGAAUCUACCUAAUAUAUCAUAUUAAUGAAUAGUAUCAAUUGCGGAGCCAAAAAAUUAUUUGUGAGGGGUCAGAAUUAAAUUGUAUAUUUUUACAAAAAUAAAAAUUAAAUUUCACUAUUUUAAUAGUUUAUUUAUUUUUAAUUUUUAAAUGAUUAAAUUAAAUUUUAUAAAUUUUUAGGAUCAAAGUAUAAUUUUAUCAUUACUAAUUUAAAAUUUUAUAAAUUAUAAAAAGUUUAUAUGAAAAGUUUUCUAUUUUAGGGUGGCCAAAGCCCCUGUCAACUUCUGACUCGAUCACUUGCGGUUAGUUGGGUAAAGACUCAAGAAAAAUAGCGGUGUGUUUGGAUGGACGGUGCGUUUACUUGCGGUUAGUGUAAAAAUAGCGGUGGCGGUGAGAUUAGAUACUAUAGCAACACUGUAGCGUGAGACAAAAAGUAAGUUAAACGCACUGCACUGCACUUAAUCGUCUAUCUAAACUCACCAUAAGUGUCUAAAAUAUGAUUUAAGUGAAGAUACGUGGGGUAGGUGUCAUGGAAAUGUAAAAAAAAAAAAGAAUCCUACUAAUGUAUGGGAUGUGUACAAUUGAAUGCAGGAGUGAAUCAUUUGGGUAACAUUUGGACAAGAAACAUAAUGAACAAAAUGAAAGGAGAGGAAGCUAGUAAUAAAAGAUUCUUUUGGGUUAUAUAAUUUGUUUGGCAUAUAUUUUUAUAAUAUUUAAAUAUCAUUUUGGAGUUGUUGAAUUAUAAUUUAUUUUUAUGUUUUAAAACAUAAUUAUUCUAUUUUUAGAGGUCAGAGUAGAGGUGAGCAUGAGUCGGGCUACUCGGCUCGGGCUGAAGGCUUGCGCAAAAUGUGAGAGAUUUGGGUAAAAAUAUAGGCCCGAAAAAUGAGUUUAGACAAAAAAAAAUAUAAGGCCCGUUGAAAAAACAGGCUAGGCCUUGGGUAAGGCAUUUUGGCCCCAGACCCGGCCCAACCCAAAUUCACUAAGGGCACGUUUGGUUCGCUGUAUUGGAAUAGAGGCGUAAUGUAAUAGAGGCGUAAUGGAAUAGAGACGUAAUAGCAAAUCAAUUGUUUGGUUGAAUGUAAUGGAAUAGAGGCGUAAUAGUAUUCUUAUAUUUGGUUGAAUGGAAUAGAGUUGUAAUAGCAUAAGGAAAAAAGUUAAAAUGACUAGAAUACCCUUAGCAGAAAUUUGUUUAGAUAAAUGAUUAUUGUUAUUGUUAUUAAAUUUUAAUAAGAUUAUUAAUAUCAGUAAUAAAUAAUUUAAUCAUAUUUUAACAUAAUUAUUAUUAAAUAUAAUUUAAUAAAAAUAUAUAAUUUAAUAAAAUUCUUAAUAUUAAAUAUUCUUAAUAUUAAAUUACUAAAAUCAUAAUAUAUAAUACUAUAAAAUAUAAUUUAACAUAAUUAUUAUUAAAUAUAAUUUAAUAAAAUUCUCAAUAUUAAAUAUAUUCUUAUAUGAAUUUACUAAAAUCAUAAUAUAUAAUACUAUAAAAUAUAAUUUAAAAUAAUUAUUAUUAAAUAUAAUUUAAUAAAAAUAUAUAAUUUAAUCUAAAGUUUGAAUGUGUAUUUACCUAGCAAAAAUCAAUGAACUCUCGUGUAACUAUAACCUUAAUAAUAUAUGAUGUAUAAUUAAUAUUUCGUGACUAAUUAAUAGCAUAGAGAUAAAUAUAGUAAUGACGAAUUUAUAGUAUACGAUUAAAAUGCUAAUAAUUUAUAGUAUACAAUUAAAAUAUUAUAAAUAAAAUAAUAGUAAAUGAUAUAUAAGAUAAAUUAACAUAUAAAUAAUUCAGAUAUGUAAAGGAUAUGGCUGAAUAUGGUUGCUCCAAUAAUAAAGGAUAUAUAAUAUAUCAUGGUGUUGUUUUGUUUAGAUAGUUCGGUAACUUAGGAGGGUAUGUAUGAAGAACACAAGUUGAUGCAGAUAGAAAGACGACAAUAUUACAUGAUUACAAUAUGAUAUAGUAUAUAUAUAUAAUUUAUGGAUUCCUUGCAAUCACGUGGGUUCUCUAGCCAUUUUAUUUAGCAUAUCCAGUGAUAUUAAGAUCCAGAAUUAUAAUACAACUAAAAUCUGUGCACACUUAUGGAUGAUCCAACAAAGCCUCAGUUGGCUUUAGGUUCCAAAUCUUGCAACCCACAAACCAUAUUUGCUGGCACUGCAACAUCAAUCAUCUUAGGAUAUGCCAAGUUAAGAUCUGUUGCACCAACAAAAACAGAGGAGAAAUUGGAAGGCGAUCCGAAAAAACCCAAGGAUGCUUUUUCUUUUCUUUUUUUUUUAUAAUCUUUAUAGACUGGUUAUAUUGAGCAUCAACUUACUUUCCAUGAUGUUUUUGAAAGUCUCUUACAAAAAGGGUAUUCAACAAAUAAUAUAAUCAGACAUAUUGAUAGGACAAAUUGAAACUAGUAUUCUAUGAUCAUAAUAAAGAGUAAUCUUUAAUCAAAUGCGUGAAGGUAUUGAGAUGUCAUGCUUUUUCAUGAUUUCCUGUUUUACCAUGGCGAUGUUCAUUGGAAUAGUCCCAUCCAAGAGAAUCAAACCAAUGCUCAGCAAGAAAUGUUCAAUGCAUAUGUAAUUUUAAUUACAGAAGUUAUAUGCAGCUUAUAUGAGUUCAAGAUCAUAAAAUACUUCAUGGACAAAAGGAAACCCUUUCUUAUCACUGAAAUGAAAAUAGGCACUCUUAAUUUUCUAUUGUCAAAAGUAGCAAGCCAUUUUCCAAAGAAAAGGGAAGAUGGAUGGUUCCAGAAAGAAUACCUCAUCCUUUGUCAAGUGUGGAUUAUAUAGCAUCUCCUCUCCCACAGUGGUUACCUAUAAUCAAUGAGGUUUAUAAAAUCGAGCAAUCAUUUAUAUAUGUAAGAAAUGAUAGGAAUAAAGUUUUAUAUCUUACUGAGAAUCCUUUGUAGUCAUGAGCUGGAUAUAGCAAUGUCUCUUUCGGUAAUGUAAAAAUCUGGAUCCAUGAAACAAAUAAGUCCAUAAAUUUUAUUCAAAUUUUGACAAUUACAAUAAAAUUUUGAGAACUCAAAGAAUGUGACCAUAAAAAGUCCCCUGUCCUUACCUGUGAAUGCACUGACUUGUAGAGUUGCUGUGAACUUCCACCCUGCAAAAUGCAUUAAUCAGUGCUAGUCAAUGGCUACUGAAUGUGGGAGCAUUAGAGAAAAUUAUCUUAAAAACUUAAGUAUAACAAAAUUAGACAAUGACAUCCAGAUGGAAAGAAAUUGCCAGCAUAUAAGACCAGCAUUUAUGUACUCACGACUGAAAAUCCUUUGCAAAAAGUAUAGCCCUGAUAGUUCAAACUUUUACUUCAAGGAUGAUUUAAUUACUGAUUAGUUUGCCAUGAGGCUUGUGAAUGACAAACACUUUAUGUGCAACCACAGUAACAAGGUAAGCACCAAUAAGUAGAAGACUAGACGAAUAGGUAACCAAGAGUUAGAGCUAAAACAGACAAACAGAGCUACUAUCCAAUGAGCUAAAACAUACAAACAGAGGUAUAUUUUAAUAAUGAAAAUAAUCGAUUGCCUUAAACACCAUAUAGUGUUCCAAUCAAUCAAAUUAUAGCAGGCAUUAAAACCUUUCCCUUUCGUUAAUUCACAACUAUUAGCUUCAUUAAUCAAAUCCUAUGUACAGUUGAUCGAUUGAAAGUGUAACAUUUCAAAGACGAAAUUUAAACGCAAAACUGGUUAACAUUGAAAUUACAUGUAAAUAUAACCUAAAAAAUCAAAAAAUUAAUCAUAUUUUCAGAUUUCAGGCCGAAAUGGAAUGAAAUGAAAGGUAAAUCCAUUUUUUCCCCAAAAAAACAAAAAUAAAGAAAUAAUAUUUCAAGAACAGAUCAUUAAAUUCAUGGUAUAUAUAAAGAAAUUUAAUUGAAAUCAAAGGAAUAGAAGAAGGGAAAAGCGUACUUGGAACCAUUGCUGCUACUCUCUGUUACUCUGUUACCUCAUACGAUUCGUUAAAGGGUUGUUAGGGUUUGUUAAAAGGUUGGUCAGGAUAGAAGCAUGAAAAGGAGGGAGAAGGUUGGAAGGAAAUGGGAAGAAAAAUGAAAAAAAGAAGAAGAUGCUGCAACGGCUUGGAGGGUAAAAGAGGACCGAUUAGGUAAUCCUUUCUUUUGGAAGGGAUUACAAAUCGGCGCUGCAUAAGGGAAAAUGGGGAAUCAGUGCGCUGCGUAAUAGGCCCGUAUUAAGGCAAUACAGCCAACCAAACAUGGUAAUCAGUGGGGCCACGAAUUAGGGGUGUAUUGGCUAAUCCAAUACACCCAACCAAACAUGCUCUAAAGGACAAAAAAAUUUGAUUUUUUAAAUAUUAUUUUCUCUCUAUUUUGCUAUCAUUUUACUAUUAUGUUGCUACUAUGUUAUUGUUAUUUUUGAAUAUUGUAUAAAACUUAUUUUAUUGUUAAUUUUGUUAUUAUUUUAAAGACAUUUGUUAAUUUUGUUAUUAUUUUAGAGACAUUUGUUUGUUAAGUUGCAUCUAUCUUAGUGUUAUUUAAGUAUACAUAUUUUUUAAAAUUUAUUUUCAAUUUAUUGGGAAAUAUUUAUUUUGAUGUUUUUAGUAUUUUGGAUGUAUUAUAUAUAUUAAAAUUAUAUAAAAAUUAAUAUGGCCGAGCCAGGUCAGGCCCAGAUUUUAGCAUUUUUAUUCAGGUCGGGCUUGAGCAAAAUUUUAAGCCCAUUUUUUGGGCCAAACCAGGCCUGGGCUUAGCAAAUGGGCCUAAAUUUUUAGUCAAGCUCGACCUAAACCCGAUCCGGCCCAUGCUCACCUCUAGAUCAGAGCUGCCCUCGCUUUGCAUUUCUUUGAGAUUCAGUCUUAUCUACUGUUGAUUGCCCACUCAAUGGAGGGUUGAGUAGAAAGAUUUGGUGAAGCAAGCUAAGCUAUCAAUCAAGGUUGGAGAAAGCUUAGGAGGUCACAAUGCAUAAUUAUUUAAAUGUAAUUCUAAUAUUUAAAUAAAAUUUAUUAAUAUAGUAUUAACAAGCCCUAAAUGUAAUGAUUAUAUACUAUUACAUUUUUAAGAAGAGAAAACAUGUUUGAACCUUAAAAACAUCAUUAUUAAAAAUGAUAAUUACAAAUUUUAAAAUAUAAAAAAUAUAAUUAAAAAUUAAUUUUAAACCCGAGCUGGAUAAAAUUCUAAUUUUAGAUAACGAUACUAAUAAGAAAUCAAUAUUAAAAUGAAAAUGAAAAGUAAUUUAAUAUAAUUUUUGAGUCUUGGGCAAAGGCACUCAAUGAAUGCUUGGAAAGAAAUAAUGCAACUUGGUGAUAGCUUUUGUUGGAGUAAUAUGCUCUUAUUAUAGUUUUAUGUUUUUAUCUUGCAAAAACAACAUAUUGGAGUUUUCGGCAUGAUUUUUUCUUAAUACUUUACAUGAAAAAUAAUAAUGGGACUUAAAUUGCUACAAUAUUACAACACAAAGUUACAAUAAGAGCUUAUAACUCAACAAAGGCUAUCAAUAAAUAAUCUCAGGCAAGCUAAAGAGAAAUGUUGAGAAUACCACCCGAAUAGUGACUGACUUUAAAAGUUGAAAACCCGAAGCUAUAUUAUCUCAAACGAAAUCAAACCAUAAACAUUAAAAUUUUCAAGUCUACUAGUUACUGUAAAAAAUUCAGCUCCAACAGACACCAAAUGAGCCUUUGAUCGAAGAAAGUACGAAAAAUAGUCUAGGUAAACCAAGCUUCCAAACUUACUUAUCUUAUCUUUAAUUUGCAGUGAAAUUCAAAAUUAAGAUUUUGUUUAUUUCACUUGGAACAACUUUCAAAAAAUUAUUUUUGAAAAAUGAAUUGGUUUUUCGAAAUAGAUGAUAUUUUAUUGUGUCAAAAUUUUAUUCAUUGUAGGAAAACUUUUUUUAAAUCAUUUUCUUAGAGUUAUUUUUAGUUAAAUAAACAUAACAUAAAUAUAUUUGUUACAAAAAAUUAUACUAGUAUUUUCUUUUGACAAUUAAAAUUUAUUUUAUGGUAAGACAAUAUUUUAUAAUAAUUAAUAUCAUAUAUAUACGUAAUAAAAAUCAUGUUUAAUUAAAAUUUAAUUAAAAUUAGAUGUAUUAAUAAAGCUACUCCUCCACAACCCGCAUCCGCAACAGCACCAGCACCAGCACCAGCACCAGCAUCAGCACCAUGGGACAACUAUUGGGUUUCCUCCACCUGCCUCUAUCGCUCCUCCUCAGUAUUACCCCCAAGCCUACCAGACCGUGCCGGGUAUUCUACAAAUAUGAAAAAACCUUCUUCUCUUUUUAUUAGCUUAUCGAAAUGAAGGAUUUUGAGAUUUGGGCUUUUGUUAGAUGGAUGGUUAAUGAUAUUUUUUAGAUGAAAGAUACAAGUUUUUUAAUGUUUUAGAAGAAAAGGUGUUUAAAUAUUAGGAGUUUUUUAGCAGAGAAAGAAGAUAAAUAAAUGCAUAGAGAUACAUUAGCAAUAUUAUUUGGAUUUGGUUGUCUAAUGUAAUGAAGAAUUUUUUAAGGGUGACCUGAGUAGGUGUGGCAAGAUUCAAAGUUUUUUCUAUUAUAGCAGAUAUAUAUAUAUUAAUGGUUUAAGAAGACUAGAAGUCGGUUUCAAAGGAAGAUGAGAAAUAAAAGCAUUUAUAUAUAUGAUAUGUCAUUAAUUCAUAAACCAAAUAUAUAAAGUAUGUAAAAGUGUCAGGGGUUAAUCAUGGUGUUUUGACAAUCCGGUAACCUUCAACUUGAAGAAAACCUUAGGUUUCAAAAAUUUAUGUGAAGAGUUAGAAUGGUAUGCUUCAUGGAUCUGAAUAACUAGAACAGUGUAAGAGUGGUAUAUUGUGUCAAGUUUGGUUUCUUGUAUAUAAUUGUAUCGAAAACAAUGUUACAUGAGUUAAAAUGAAUGUUCAUCCAAUUUAACAAAGCCUGCAUUAUGUUGAUCAAAAUUUUUAAUUCAUGUUGAGGUUUCUUCCGUGAUAUCUUUGAUGUCAAGGUUAUGAUGUUGCUGAAGGGACACCUGUAAGAGAUAAGCCACCGUGCUGUGGCAUUGGAUUCGGAUGGUUCUUGUAAGUGUACAUAGUUUUCUUUGUUUUUAAAGAGUUCUUUACAUAUGAAGUAAAACAAGUAGCGACUUGAUGGAUAUGUCAUUAAGCUUUAACUUAAGCAAAUCAUUUUCCUUCAUCUCUAAUUGCCAUUUCUUUAAAAGAAAAAGAGGAAGUUUUGUAGUUUACAGUUUGGACAAAUGGAAGUUAAUAUAAUGCACUAUUUGGAUGGACUAUGGAGAUAUCCAAUCAUAUUGGAUGAGUUAUAAGAAACCUGUGAGUUCAUAUUGGGUUUACUUUAUAUCAUAAUUAGAUUGUUGAGCUGGCUGUCAUACUUAGAUGGUAUUUCACGUUGCUACUUGUUAAACUAUACCACUUUCACAUUCAUACGUGAAAUGGCUGGGAUUUAGUGCCAUUCUACUUAGCAGCCUCGUGUAAUACACAGGUGAAAUGUUUAUGUCUUCAUGUCACCUUAAAGUUCCCAUUUCCAUGACGGUAUUGUUAAGUAAAGACUGGUACAUACCCCAAAAUACGGAAAUUGUUUUGGAUGUAUACUAUACUUUACCAUGCAUGAUUUUUUACAAGUUUGCAUGGUAUUUUAUCAUUAUAUUGGUCUUUAUUUUCUAUACUCGCAGCUUCCAUUAAUAUAUUUUUAUGAAUUUUAUCAUUAUGCUGGUUUGAAGGUUCAUCAUUGGUUUCUUCAUUGGGGGCCAUCCCUGGUAUAUUGGAUUCUUUGUUUUACUUUGUGCAAGGAUAGACGACAGAGAGAAAGCAGGAUAUAUUGCAUGCACAAUUGCCGUGAGUAUCUUUUCUAUCAUUAUUUUUUUCUUUUCCAAUUUUAUGAAAGCCAUCCUUCCUGCCUUGUAUUGAUCAUCAAUUUAACCAUUAUAUAUAUGUAUCUUAUGUAUUUGUACCAUGCUUUAUCUUCAAUGCAAAUAUAAGUUAAACUACAAAGAUUGGAUUGUUAAAAAAAGUUUAAAAUGUUAAAAAAAUUGAAAAUUUUGAUUUUGUAAGAAUGAUAGAAAACCAAGGCCAGUGCUUGCAUAUGUUAUCUACUACAUGCACAAUCGGGUCGAUGUCUGUAUAUGUUUCAUGUUUAGAAAUCGUGUUCAAUUGGGUUACGAUAUGUACAAUUGAAGUGUCAAUUUAUAAUUUCCUUAUCAAGAUUACACAUUUUUUUGUUAAUAUUCGGAAUCACUCAAUGGUUAUAAACCCUGAUUGGAUACUGUCCACAAAGUCUAGUUGGAACAUCCCUUGUAUUCUUUGUCCUUUCUAAGAACUUUCCUUUCCAUCAUUCUCGCUUCUGUUUUUUUUUUCUUCCCUCUACUUUAAGUCAUUAUCUAACGUAGAUAUCCCUUGUAUUCUUUGUCCUUUCUAUGGCAAUCGAGUCAAUUGAUGGCAAGCCAAAAAAACAAAAAGAGCAGCUAUCCUGUCUUACUCGAUUGCCAUCCCUCCUGUUAAACACCAUUAAGAAAAGGAAAAUUUUAGUUAAGCUUUAAAACAGCCAUGUUUUAACGAUGUUGGUGAUGGUGCUUGUGCAGGCCCUUCUUGCUACAAUUACAAUUAUUCUUAGUGCAACAAUUAAAGCUGGUGGGUGAUAAAGCACACCUCUUUUGACUGAGAGAUGUAUAGGUUCCCAAAUAAUAUGUAUAUGCUCCCCCCCCUCCCUUUAUUUUAUUUUAUUUCCAGUAAGUUAUUGUUUAUGAUAAUUUGCAACAAAUGUUUUUGUCAUUAUUUUGUUGGUGAAUGAUAAUAAGAUUAAGCUUUACUUUCUUAAGCUCCAAUUCCUUGGACGUUGGUGAUUUUUUUAUUAUAGUUGAGUCAUUGUAUGGUAUUAAUAUAAUUUAUGUCGCUUAAAAUUUAUAACUAAAAAUAUAAAAUUUAAAUUUUACUUCAAUUUAUUUGUAUUUAUAAAUGGUUAAUUCAAACUUAUUUUUUUCCUCAUUAUAUUUUAUAUUUAAAUUAACAUUUAAACUAUUUUUCAUUAGCAAUGUUGUUAAGAAUUAUAUUUUUUAGCACCAACAUCAAACUUACUAAAAUUAAAUUUUUAACUAUUUAAAAAAAAUAUUUUUAGCUAUUUAUCAUCAUAGAGAAAAAAAGGUGACGUCACCACGCCUCAUGCUUCGACACCACAAACUAGACUCUCAUCACCCGUAUUUAUCAUCGAUUCAAAUUCCAGAACUACCUAAAAAUAUAUCUUCAAACUUCCUCUGGUUAAGUUCAUUGAUAGUCAACUUACUAUCAUUUCUAAAAAAAAAACAAAUAAAUUGGUUAAUAGUAAUCUCAAUGAUUCAAUUUUAUUCUUACCAGUAUCUGUCCUUUAGAAAGGGGCUUAUAAAAGGGGUAGAGGUGAGUAAACUUGAGCUUCAGCUUUCCACAAACACCUUAAUUUGAAGACACAGUUCUCUCAUACUAAAAAAGACAUGGAAGUUUACCUUGUAAUUAGAGAUUUGGUUUCAUUGCUUGUUGUUGGGUUAUUAAUGAUAUGGGGAUGCAGAACUUUAAACUGGGUAUGGCUGGCCCCAAAAAGGCUCGAAAGCUGCUUGAGACAACAGGGUUUUGCAGGGAAUCCUUACAGGUUCCUUUCUGGUGACAUAAAAGAGCUCUCAACUAUGAGCAGACAAACAAGAGCCAAACCUAUGCCUCUUAGUGAUGAUAUUGGGCCUUAUGUUGUUCCUUUUCAACAUCAAACUGCUAACCAGUAUGGUAUGUUUUUUUUGUUUAAUCUGCAAUUUAUGAUAAUUCUUUGUUAUUUAUGUAUGGAAUUUAUUGGGAGGAAAUGCAGGAAAGAAUUCAUUUACGUGGUUUGGUCCAAGACCAAGGGUGAACAUUACGGACCCUGAAAAAAUAAGAGAAAUACUUAACAAAUUUAAUGACUUCCAGAAGAUACAUACCAAUCCACUGCUUAAUUUGCUUGUAAGCGGCCUUGCUAACCUCGACGGAGACCGAUGGAGCAAGCGUAGAAAAAUCAUAAACCCUGCAUUUCAUCAAGAUAAGUUGAAGGUAUAGAAUAGUGAUGGGUAAUCAGACUUUACAGAAAACAUCAUACUUAAACCUAUGCUUUUCUGAUUUAGAAAUAAUUGGAUGCAGAAUAUGUUGCCAGCAUUUUAUCAAAGUUGUAGUGACAUGUUAAGCAAAUGGGAGAAGAUGGUGUGUACAAAAGGAUACAGUGAGUUAGAUGUGUGGCCUUAUCUCGUAGAUUUGACAAGAGAUGUGAUUUCCCGAUCUGCUUUUGGAAGCAGCUUCGAAGAAGGCAAACGAAUUUUCCAAUUACUAGAGGACCAACUCGUUCACAUAAUCAAAUUAAUACAAACUGUUUACAUUCCAGGAUGGAGGUAACCGUCAACUUAAUUUACUUGAAAAAGGUUGCAAAUGUUGGAAUUCGCUAAAUUCGUGUUUGUUUUCUUGAAGGUUUUUGCCAACGAAGACAAACAGGGAGAUGAAGAUGAAACACAGGGACAUAAAAGAGUUGCUUAUGGAAAUGAUAAAGAGAAGGGAGAAGGCAAUUAAAGCAGGGGAAGAGAGCAAUGAGGACUUGUUGGACAUACUUGUGGAAUCCAAUAUCAGAGAAAUGGAAGCAAAGAAUAUUGGGAUGAGCAUUGAGGAUGUGAUUGAGGAAUGCAAGCUGUUUUACUUAGCUGGCCAAGAGACCACUUCGGUCUUACUGGUGUGGACUAUGGUUUUAUUAGCAAGGUAUCCCGAUUGGCAAAGUAAAGCAAGAGAGGAGGUUUUGCAUGUUUUGGGUGACAGUAAACCUGACGCUGAUGGCCUUAAUCGUCUCAAAGUUGUAAGUCCCUAGCAUGUCUUUUGAAGGUCCGAUCAAUGAGGUCGACAACUCAAAAACUUUGUUUCUUUUUUCGCUAAUUCUACAGGUAACAAUGAUAUUGUACGAGGUUCUAAGGCUGUACCCACCGGUGGUUGAGCUAGAACGUUCCGUUCCAAAAGAAAUAAAACUGGGGAAUUUGUUGUUACCAGUAGGAACAGAAGUUUCGGUUCCGAUCCUGCUGAUCCACCAUGACAAAGAUCUUUGGGGCGAUGACGCACGGGAAUUUAAGCCAGAGCGGUUCGCGGAAGGGGUUUCCAAAGCAACAAAGAGUCAAGUCACGUUUCUGCCAUUCGGAUGGGGUCCUAGGAUCUGUAUUGGCCAAAAUUUUGCUAUGAUGGAAGCCAAAAUGGCGAUGGCUAUGAUUCUCCAACGCUUCUGGUUCGAGCUUUCCCCUUCCUAUGCUCACUCUCCUUACGGCAGGGCAACUCUUCGUCCACAGCAUGGUGCACAGAUAAUUUUACAUAAACUUGGCUGUAAUUGAAUUGUUAUGUAAACAAAUCUUUGUGAAAACAUAGCGUUUUAGUUUAUCGUCAAAGUCCGGUGUCUGUAAUGGUACAAAUUCGAUGCAUGAAUAGUAAAGUUUGAGAUGUUUGGUGAAGUCCGAAAUAAUAUGCAGAAAUUGAGUGUGGUAAUUAUCAAUCAAAUAAUUCGGUACAAAGACUUACAUGGAAAUUAAAGCAGGGGGAGUUGAAAAUGACUACUCUGCUUUGGGCAUCAAUUUAGAAAGAUUUAAAGUACAAAUGUGUUAUUAGUUAAGGGAUUUGUUUUAAAGAGGGAAUGACAAUUAAACCUCAUGGUUGAUUUGUGGAAGGGAACCGAUGAUGGGAUGAUUAUUCUUAGUGGUAAAAAAAACUAUUGUGGAGGUUAUUAUACUUGUUAUCAUCGGCUUAAAAUUCGAAUGGGUUCAAGUCGGAUUAUAUCGAGCUUGUAAGAUGAGUUCACGGAUCAAAUUUGCAUAAUAAAAAUACUUAAAUGAAAAAAAUUUCUAUUUUAGAGGGACCAGAGCCCCUACCAAUUCCCGGCUCAGCUACUAAACAAUACCCAUAUCAUAUAAAUAAAUACCACCAUAAAAAAAACUCAAAGAAAAACACUGACAAAUGAUAAAUAGAUAGAUGUUGGAUAAGUGUCCAAAAUAUGAUUUAAGUGAAGAUACAUGGGGUAGGUGUCACGGAAAUGUGAAUACAAGAAUACUACUAAUGGGAUGUGUACAGUUGAAUGUAGGGAGCAAAAAGAGGAGUGAAUCAUUUUGGUAACAUUGGGACAAGAAACAUAAUGAACAAAAUGGAAGGAGAGGAAGCUAGUAAAAGAAAUUUUUUGGGUCAUAUAAUUUGUUUGGCAUAUAUUUUUAUAAUUUUUAAAUAUCAUUUUGGACUUGAAUUAUAAUUUUUUUAUAUAUUAUCUUAAAAUUGUAUAAAUUUUAAGGAGUUAAAACAAAAUUAUUCUAUUUUUAGAUGGUUAAAGUAGAGAUGAUAAUGGGUUGAGCUAUUCGGCCCAGCCUGACGAUCCACCCGAAAAAUAGGAAGGUUUGGGUAAAAAUAUAGGCUUGAAAUAUGAAUUUGAGCAAAAAAAGAGGCCCGUUUAGAAAAUGGGCCGAGCCUCGGGUAAAACCUUUUGGGUCUAGACCUGACCUAAAUUAUAUAUUAAAUAUAUAUAUUUUUAUUUUUAAUCAAAUAUACUUUUGUUUUAUUAUUAAUUUGGUUAUUAUUUUAGUUCUAAUUUGUUUCAAUUUUAAUAUAACUACUUUUUAUUAUAUUUUCAAUUUGUGCAUUGUUUUAAGAAUUAUUUUAGUCUCAUUAUUUAUUUAUUUUUUAUUUUAAUAUUUGUUUUAAAAUUUUUUAUUUAUUGAAAUAAGCUAAAAAAAUUAAUAUGGGUUGGACCAGACCGGGCUCGGGCCUAGUAAUUUUCUUUUGGGCCGGACUUAAACAAAUUUUUAAGCCCAUAUUUUGAAUUGGGUCCUACACUAGAAAAUGGACCUAAAAUUUUGUAUUACCUUUAGGUCAGAGCUAUCCUCGUUUUGCAUUUCUUUGAGAUUCAGCCUUAUUUACUUUUGAUUGCCCACUCAAUAGAGGGUUGAGUAGAAAUAUUUGGUGAAGCAAGCUAAGCUAUCAAUCAAGGUGUGCAUAAUUAUUUAAAUGUAAUUCUAAUAUUAAAAUAAAAUUUUUAUUAAUAUAGUAUCAACAAGCAUUAAAUGUAAUCAUCAUAUACUAUUAAAUUUUCAAUAAGAGAAAACAAGCUUGAACUUUAAAAACGAUGUUACUAAAAACAUUAUCACAAAUCUUGAAAUAUAAAAAAUACUUUUUAAUAUAAUAAAAAAAUAAUUUUAAAACCGAGAUGAAUAAAAUUCUAAUUUUAAUUAAUGAUACCAACAACAAAUCAAUAUUUAAAUUAAAAUUUAUCUUAAUUUAAUAUAAUAAAAUUGGACUUGAAUAUUGAAUUUUUGAGUCUUGGGCAAAGUAGAGGUGCUCAUGGGCCGGGUUGGGUCGGGUUUGGGAAAAAUUUCGGCCCGCAUCCUAGGCUCGGGCUCGGCCCGACCCAAAUAUGGGCCUAAAAUUUUGUCUAGGCCUAGCCCGGCCCGGCCCAACUCAUUUUUUUUAAUAAACACCAAAAAUUUAUUUUGAAAAUAAAAAAAUAAAAAAAGUAUUUUAAAAAUAUUUUAAAAUUUUUAAAAAAUAUAUAUAUUUAUUAUAUAUUCGGGCCGGGCCAGGCCCGAGCCAAAAAAGUGGCGCCCAAGGCCCGGCCUGUUUUCUAAACGGGACUCAUUUUUUACCCAAACCCAUAUUUCGGGCCUAUAUUUCUACCCGAAUCUCUCAUAUUUAGGGCGAACCGUCGGGCCGGACCGGGCCGCCCGGCCAUGAACACCUCUAGGACAAAGUCACUCAAUGAAUGCAUGGAAAGAAAUAAUGCAACUUGGUGAUAGCUUUUGUUGGAGUUAUAUGCUUUUUUUUUACGUAGUGGAACUUUCGGUGGAUUUUCAAGUUUCAUGAACUUUAUACUCUAUGCUUUACGUGAAAAAAAAAAUUCAUUGGACUUAAAAGUCUACCAAAAGUUUCACUAAAAAAAAAACCAUUGCUACAAGAUUACAACAUAAAGUUACAAUAAGAGCUUAUAACUCAACAAAGGCUAUCAAUAAAUAAUCUCAAACAAAUUAAAGAGAAAUGUUGAGAGUACCACUCGAAUAGUGAUUAACUUUAAAAAUUGAAAACCCAAAGUUAUAAUAUCCCAAACGAAAUCAAACCAUAAACAUUAAAUUUUUCGAGUCUACUAGAUACUGCAAAAAAUUCAGCUCCAACAGACACCAAAUGAACCUAUGAUCGAAGAAAAUACGAAAACUAGUCUAGCUAAAUCAAGCUGCCAAACUUACUUUUUAUCUUAUCUUUAAUUUGCUGUGAAAUUCAAAACUAAGGUUUUGUACUUAGAACAACUUUCAAAAAGUUAAUUUUGAAAAAUGGAUUGAAUUUUCAAAAUAGAUGAUAUUUUAUUGUGUUAAAAUUUUAUUCGUUGUUUGAAAAAAAAUUUAAAUCAUUUUCUUAGAAUUAUUUUUAGUGAAACAAACAUAUCAUAAAUAUAUUUGUUAUAAAAUAUUUAUAUUAAUAUUUUCUUUUAACAAUUAAAAUAUAUUUUGUGAUAAGGUAUAUUUUAUAAUAAUUAAUAUCAUAUAUACUUAAUAAUAAAUCAUGUCUAAUUAAAAUUUAAUUUCAAUUAAAUAUAUUAAUAAAGCUACAUAUAAUCAUAUUUUAUAUAAUAAAAAUAUUAAUAUAAAUAUUUUUUUAAUAAUAUAUUAAAGAAUAUUUAAAAUUUAAAUUUAUUAUUACUAAGAUUAAUUAUUAAAAUAAAAAUGUAAUGUUAAAUAAUUUAUCCAAUGAUAAGUUAUAUUAAUAAUUUAUUAUAUUAUUAAAUAUAAAUAAUUAAAUAUGUAUGUUUAAUAAUAUUAUGUUAUAAUAUUUAUUAUUAAUAUUUUAAUAUUUUUAAACAACCAUGUUUUAAAGAUGGUGGUGAUGGUGAUGGUGCAGGCCCCCUUGUUACAAUUACAAUAUUUUUAAGUGGGAUGCAUGUAAUAUAUUGUUAGGGUUUUAGAGUGUGUGGUCUUUAAAAGGGUUAAAUUAUAUAUUUAUAUAAUAUGAUUAUUGUUUAUAAAUAUAAUAUUGUAGAUAAACUUUUAUGCAUGUCAAUAUGUAUCCUACUCUGGGGUUAAUAUGUAUUUUUAGAUAUGGAUUCACCUAUAUAAUAGUAUGAAUCCAUCAUGCGGUCUCAUGAAAUAUACAAACACAUAUCGUGCGAACACAAAGUACGAACAAUAAAAAGUACAAAUCAAGACCAAUUGAGUAAUUGAAUAGCAGAUAGGUAAUAAUGACUAUCCCCUCUUGUUUGAAUUUAUUUUAUUUCCAGUGAGUUAUCGUUUAUGAUAAAUUUACAACAAAUGUUUUUAUCAUUAUUUUGUUGGUAAAUGAUAAUAAGAUUAAACUUUACUUUCUUAAGCUCCUUCAAUUCUUUGGACGUUAGCAAGUAAACUUGAGCUUCAGCAUUCCACAAACACCUUAAUUUGAAGACACAGUUCUCCCAUACUAAAAACAACAUGGACGUUUACCUUGUAAUUAGAGAUUUGGGCUCAUUGUUAGGUUAUUAAUGAUACGGGGAUGGAGAGCUUUAAACUGGGUAUGGCUGGCCCCAAAGAGGCUCGAAACGUGCUUGAGACUAGAGGUCCAGGCAAAUUUUUAGGCCCAUUUUUUAGGCCUGGACUGGGCCCGACUCGAAAUAUGAGCUUAAAAAUUUGUCUAAGUUCGGUCCAAAAGAAAAUUGUUAAGCCUAAGCCCGGCCCAUAUUAAAUUUUACAACACCAAAAAACUAUAUAUUUAAUAUAUAUAUUUGAUUAAAAAGUAUAUUUAAUUAAAAAUAAAAAUAUAUAUUUAAUAUAUAAUUCGGGCCGGGCCGAACUCGGGCCAAAAAAGUUUUACUCGGGGCUGGUCCGUUUUCUAAACAGACCUCGUUUUUUUGUCAAAAUCCAUAUUUUAGGCUUAUAUUUUUACCCGAAACUUCCUAUUUUUCGGGUGAACCGUCAGGCCGGACUAGGUAGCCCAACCAAUGAUCACCUCUACUUGAGACAACAGGGUUUUGCAGGGAAUUCUUACAGGUUCGUUUCUGGCGACAUAAAAGAGCUCUUCACUAUAAGCAUACAAACAAGAGCCAAACCUAUGCCUCUUAGUGAUGAUAUUGGGCCUUAUGUUGUUCCUUUUCAACAUCAAACCGUCAAUCAGUAUGGUAUGUUUUUUAAUUUAAUCUGCAAUUUAUGAUAAUUCUUUGCUAUUUAUGUAUGGAAUUUAUUGGGAGGAAAUGCUGGGAAGAAUUCAUUUACGUGGAUUGGUCCAAGAUCAAGGGUGAACAUUACGGACCCGGAAAAAUAAGAGAAAUACUUAACAAAUUUAAUGACUUCCAGAAGGUACGUACCAAUCCACUGCUUAAUUUGCUUGUAAGCGGCCUUGUUAACCUCGAAGGAGACCGAUGGAGCAAGCAUAGAAAAAUCAUAACCCUUCAUUUCAUCAAGAUAAGUUGAAGGUAUAGAAUAGUGAUGGGUACUUAGACUUAAUUUACAGAAAACAUCAUACUUAAAUCUAUGCUUUUCUGAUUUAGAAAUGAUUGGAUGCAGAAUAUGUUGCCAGCAUUUUAUCAAAGUUGUUGUGACAUGUUAAGCAAAUGGGAGAAGAUGGUGUGUACAGAAGGAUACAGUGAGUUAGAUGUGUGGCCUUAUCUUGUAGAUUUGACAAGAGAUGUGAUUUCCCGAUCUGCUUUUGGAAGCAGCUUCGAAGAAGGCAGACGAAUUUUCCAAUUACUAGAGGACCAACUCGUUCUCACAAUCAAAUUAAUACAAACUGUUUACAUUCCAGGAUGGAGGUAACCCUCAACUUAAUUUACUUGAAAAAGGUUGCAAAUGUUGGAAUUGGCUAAAUUCGUGUUUGUUUUCUUGAAGGUUUUUGCCAACAAAGACAAACAGGGAGAUGAAGAUGAAACACAGACAUAAAAGAGUCGCUUAGGGAAAUGAUAAAGAGAAGGGAGAAGGCAAUUAAAGCAGGGGAAGAGAGCAAUGAGGACUUGUUGGACAUACUUGUGGAAUCCAAUAUCAGAGAAAUGGAAGCAAAGAAAAAGGGGAUGAGCAUUGAGGAUGUGAUUGAGGAAUGCAAGCUGUUUUACUUUGCUGGCCAGGAGACCACUUCGGUCUUGCUGGUGUGGACUAUGGUUUUAUUAGCAAGGUAUCCCGAUUGGCAAAGUAAAGCAAGAGAGGAGGUUUUGCAUGUUUUGGGUGACAGUAAACCUGAUGCUGAUGGCCUUAAUCGUCUCAAAGUUGUAAGUCCCUAGCAUGUCUCUUGAAGGUCCGAUCUCUGAGGUCGACAACUCAAAAACUUGGUUUCUUUGUUUCGCUAAUUCUACAGUUAACAAUGAUAUUGUACGAGGUUCUAAGGCUGUACCCACCAGUGAUUGAGCUAGGACGUUCCGUUCCAAAAGAAAUAAAACUGGGAAAUUUGUUGUUACCAGCAGGAACAGACGUUUCGGUUCCAAUCCUGCAGAUCCACCAUGACAAAGAUCUUUAGGGCGACGACGCACGGGAAUUUAAGCCACAGCGGUUCACGGAAGGGGUUUCCUAAGCAACAAAGAGUCAAGUCACGUUUCUGCCAUUCGGAUGGGGUCCUAGGAUCUGCAUUGGCCAAAACUUUGCCAUGAUGGGAACCAAAAUGGCGAUGGCUAUGAUUCUCCAACGCUUCUGGUUCGAGCUUUCCUCUUCCUAUGCUUACUCUCCUUACAACAUGGCAACUCUUCGUCCACAGCAUGGUGCACAGAUAAUUUUACAAAAACUUGGCUGUAAUUGAAUUGUUAUGUAAACAAAUCUUUGUGAAAAUAUAGUGUUUUAGUGUAUCGUCAAAGUCUGCCUGUAAUGGUACAAUUCCGAUGCAUGAAUAGUAAAUCUUGAGAUGUUUGGUGAAGUCCGAAAUAAUAUGCAGAAAUUGAGUGUCUUGAAUGGAUGUAGUAUUUAAUGGUGGACAUAGUUGAGGGACUAAUGUGGUAAUUAUCAAACAAAUAAUUGCAUAUGGUACAAAGACUUGUAUGGAAAUUAGAGCAGGGCGAGUUGAAAAUUACUACUUUGCUUCGGGCAUCAAUUUAGAAAGAUUUAAAGUACAAAUGUAUUAUUAGUUUAAGGGAUUUGUUUUAAAGAAGGAAUGACAAUUAAACCUCAUGGUUGAUGUGUGGAAGGGAACCAAUGAUGGGAUGAUUACUCUUAGUGGUAAAAAAAAAAACUAUUAAGGUGGUUAUUAUAGUUGUUAUCACCGGCCCAAAAUUCGAAUAGGUUCAGGUCGGAUUAUAUUGAGCUUGUAGAUGAGUUUGCAUGAUAAUAGGUGUUCACAGAAAGAUAUCUAUAGUUUCCUACAAAGUCACAUGUGAGAUCGUGCAUUGGGACCGCAUAAAAAUGUUUUAUGUUUAGAAUAUGAUACGUGUCUAUGUGUAUGGAAUCUACCUAAUAUAUCAUAUUAAUUAAUAGUAUCAAUUGCGGAGCCAAAAAAUUAUUUCUGAGGGGUCAGAAUUAAAUUGUAUAUUUUUACAAAAAUAAAAAUUAAAUUUCACUAUUUUAAUAGUUUAUUUCUUUUUAAUUUUUAAAUGAUUAAAUUAAAUUUUUAUAAAUUUUUGGGAUCAAAGUACAAUUUUAUCAUUUCUAAUUUAAAAUUUUAUAAAAUAUAAAAAGUUUAUAUGAAAAGUUUUCUAUUUUAGAGUGGCCAAAGCCCCUGCCAACUUCCGACUCGAUCACUAAACAAUAUAAAUAAAUAAAUACCACCAUCUAAAAGACUCAAGAAAAACACUCAACGAUAAAUAGAUAGAUGUUGGGUAAAGAUACGUUUGGAUGGGCGGUGCGUUUACUUGCGGUUAGUAUAAAAAUAGCGGUGGCGGUUAGAUUAGAUACUAUAGCAACACUGUAGCGUAAGACAAAAAAUAAGCUAAACGUACUGCACUGCACUUAAUCGCCCAUCCAAACUCACCCUAAGUGUACAAAAUAUGAUUUAAGUGAAGAUACGUAGGGUAGGUGUCAUGGAAAUGUAAAAGACAAGAAUCCCACUAAUGUAUGGGAUGUGUACAGCUGAAUGUAGGGAGCAAAGAGGAGUGAAUCAUUUUGGUAACAUUUGGACAAGAAACAUAAUGAACAAAAUGAAAGGAGAGGAAGCUAGUAAAAGAUUUUUUUGAGUUAUAUAAUUUGUUUGGCAUAUAUUUUUAUAAUUUUUAAAUAUCAUUUUGGAGUUGAAUUAUAAUUUCUUUUUAUGUUUUAAAACAUAAUUAUUCUAUCUUCAAAGGGUUAGAGUAGAGGUGAGCAUGGGUCGGGCUACUCGGCCCGAAAUGUGAGAGAUUUGGGCAAAAAUAUAGGCUCAAAAAAUGGACUUGGACAAAAAAAUAUAAGACCCGUUGAAAAAUGGGCCGGGCAUUGGGUAAGGCAUUUUUGGCCCUGGGCCCGGCCCAAUCCUAAUUCACUAAAGGACAAAAAAAAUUUGAUUUUUAAAUAUUAUUUUCUUCCUAUUUUGCUACCAUUUUACUAUUAUGUUGCUACUAUUUUGUUGUUAUUUUUUGGAUAUUGUAUAAAACUUAUUUUAUUGUUAAUUUUGUUAUUAUUUUAAAGACAUUUGUUAAUUUUGUUAUUAUUUUAGAGACAUUUGCUUGUUAAGUUGUAUCUAUCUUAGUGUUAUUUAAGUGUACAUAUUUUUUAAAAUUUAUUUUCAAUUUAUUGGGAAAUAUUUAUUUUGAUGUUUUUAGUAUUUUGGAUGUAUUAUAUAUAUUAAAAUUAUAUAAAAAUUAAUAUGGCCGAGCCGAGUCAGGCCCAGAUUUUAGCAUUUUUAUUCAGGUCGGGCUUGAGCAAAAUUUUAAGCCCAUUUUUUGGGCCAAACCAGGCCUGGGCUUAGCAAAUGGGCCUAAAUUUUUAGUCAAGCCCGACCUAAACCCGAUCCGGCCCAUGCUCACCUCUAGAUCAGAGCUGCCCUCGCUUUGCAUUUCUUUGAGAUUCAGUCUUAUCUACUGUUGAUUGCCCACUCAAUGGAGGGUUGAGUAGAAAGAUUUGGUGAAGCAAGCUAAGCUAUCAAUCAAGGUUGGAGAAAGCUUAGGAGGUCACAAUGCAUAAUUAUUUAAAUGUAAUUCUAAUAUUUAAAUAAAAUUUAUUAAUAUAGUAUUAACAAGCCCUAAAUGUAAUGAGUAUAUACUAUUACAUUUUUAAGAAGAGAAAACAUGUUUGAACCUUAAAAACAUCAUUAUUAAAAAUGAUAAUUACAAAUUUUAAAAUAUAAAAAAUAUAAUUAAAAAUUAAUUUUAAACCCGAGCUGGAUAAAAUUCUAAUUUUAGAUAACGAUACUAAUAAGAAAUCAAUAUUAAAAUGAAAAUGAAAAGUAAUUUAAUAUAAUUUUUGAGUCUUGGGCAAAGGCACUCAAUGAAUGCUUGGAAAGAAAUAAUGCAACUUGGUGAUAGCUUUUGUUGGAGUAGUAUGCUCUUAUUAUAGUUUUAUGUUUUUAUCUUGCAAAAACAACAUAUUGGAGUUUUCGGCAUGAUUUUUUCUUAAUACUUUACAUGAAAAAUAAUAAUGGGACUUAAAAAUCUAUCAAAAGCUUCACCAUAAUAAUAAUAAUAAUAAUAAUAAUAAUAAAUUGCUACAAUAUUACAACACAAAGUUACAAUAAGAGCUUAUAACUCAACAAAGGUUAUCAAUAAAUAAUCUCAGGCAAGCUAAAGAGAAAUGUUGAGAAUACCACCCGAAUAGUGACUGACUUUAAAAGUUGAAAACCCGAAGCUAUAGUAUCUCAAACGAAAUCAAACCAUUAACAUUAAAAUUUUCAAGUCUACUAGCUACUGUAAAAAAUGCAGCUCCAACAUACACCAAAUGAGUCUUUGAUCGAAGAAAGUACAAAAACUAGUCUGGGUAAACCAAGCUGCCAAACUUACUUAUCUUAUCUUUAAUUUUGCAGUGAAAUUAAAAAUUAAGUUUUUGUUUAUUUCACUUGGAACAACUUUCAAAAAAUUAUUUUUGAAAAAUGGAUUGGUUUUUCGAAAUAGAUGAUAUUUUAUUGUGUUAAAAUUUUAUUCGUUGUUGGAAAACUUUUUUUAAAUCAUUUUCUUAAAGUUAUUUUUAGUGAAACAAACAUAACAUAAAUAUAUUUGUUACAAAAAAAUUAUAUUAGUAUUUUCUUUUGACAAUUAAAAUUUAUUUUAUGAUAAGACAAUAUUUUGUAAUAAUUAAUAUCAUAUAUAUAUACGUAAUAAAAAAAUCUUGUUUAAUUAAAAUUUAAUUAAAAUUAAAUAUAUUAAUAAAGCUACAUAUAAUCAUAUUUUUUAUAAUUAAAAUAUUAAUAUAAAUAUUUUUCAAUAAUAUAUUAAAAUAUUAAAAUUUAAAUUAUUAUUACUUAAAUUAAUUAUUAAAAUAAAAAAUUUAAUAUUAAAUAAUUUAUUCAAUGAUAAGUUUUAUUAAUAAUUUAUUGUAUUAUUAAAUAUAAUUAAUUAAAUAUGCAUAUUUAAUAAUAUUACGUUAUAAUAUUUUAAUAUUCUUAAACAGCCAUGUUUUUAAGAUGCUGGUGAUGGUGAUGCUGCGGGCCUCUCUUGUUACAAUUACUAUAAUUUUUUGUGCAAUAAUUGAAGUUGUUGGGUGGUCAAGCAAACCUCUUUUGACUGAGAUGCAUAUAAUAUACCCGCAUGUCCCCGCCUCCUAAAAUUUAAAUUUGUUAUUUGAAUCUUUAAAUUUUUUAAUAUAAUAUACCCGCAUGUCCCCGCCUCCUAAAAUUUAAAUUUGUUAUUUGAAUCUUUAAAUUUUUUAAAAAUUUUAAAUUCAUAAAAGUAAAAUUAUACUUUGACCCUCUAAAAUUAUAAAAAUUUAAUUAAUCUUUUAAAUUCAUUGGGCCCCUAAUAUAUUGUUCAGGCUUCACCCUUGAUACUGAUGUUGACUAUUUUAGAGUAUGUGUCUUCUUUAACAGGGUUAAAUUAUAUAUUUAUAUAAUAUAGUUAUUGUUUAUGGACGUGACAUCGUAACUAGGUUCUUAUGCAUGUCAACAUAUAUCCUAUUUUAAGGUUAACACGUAUUUUUAAAUGUGAAUUCACCUAUAUAAUGGUAUGAACCAUCAUGCAGUCUCAUAAAAUAUGCGAAUAUAUGUCGUGCGAACACAAAGUACAAUCCACACAGAAUACGAAUUAAGACCCAAUUGAAUAAUCGGAUACGAAUCAGUAAUAAUGAAUUUCAUAACAGCCACCAACCCCUCUUUUGUUUUAAUUUAUUUUAUUUCCAGUAAGUUAUUGUUUGUGAGAAUUCACAACAAAUGCUUUUGUCAUUAUUUUGUUGGUAAAUAAUAAUAAGAUUAAACUUUACUUUCUUAAGCUCCUUCAAUUCUUUGGAAGUUGGUGGUUUUUUAUUCUAAUCUUAUUUUUUUUAUUAAUUUCUUUUUUUAUAAUAAAUGUGUUUAUAGAUCAGGUUGGAUUAUAAUUGAAUCAUUGUCUGGUAUUAACAUAAUUUAAAUCGAUUAAAAUUUAUUCGACUGGAAAUAUAAAUUUAAAAUUUUACUUCAAUUUAUCUUAAUUUAUAAAUUGUGAAUUUAAAUUUAUUUAUUUUCUCUCAUUAUAUUCAGUUUUUCGGAUCAUAUUUGGCCCAGAACAAAAACUAGAACAAAAAAACAAAUAUAUAUGUUUUCCAAAAAUUAAAUUGUUAACUUUAAAAAAAUAUAUUUUUAGCUAUUUAUCAUCAUAGAGAAAAACAAAUAAGGUCACCUCGCCUUAUGCUUCAACACCUCAACCUAGAUUCUCAUCACCUGUAUUUAUCAUCGAUUCAGAUUUUUAUUUUUACUAUAUUCUAGAUCUACCUAUAAAUAUAUCUUCAAACUUCCUCUGGUUAAGUUCAUUCAUAGAUAGGUGAGUAAACUUGAGCUUCAGCUUCAACAAACACCUUAGUUUGCAAUUCUCUCAUACUAAAAAUAUGGAAGUUUACCAUGUAAUUAGAGAUUUGGUCUCAUUGCUUGUUGUUGGUUUAUUAAUGAUAUGGGGAUGGAGAGCUUUAAACUGGGUAUGGUUGGCCCCAAAGAGGCUCGAAAGGUGCUUGAGACAACAGGGUUUUGCAGGGAAUCCUUACAGGUUCCUUUCUGGUGACAUAAAAGAGCUCUUAACUAUGAGCAGACAAACAAGAGCCAAACCUAUGCCUCUUAGUGAUGAUAUUGGGCCUUAUGUUGCUCCUUUUCUUCAUCAAACUGUCAACCAGUAUGGUAUGUUUAAUUAUUAUUUAAUCUUCAAUUUAUGAUAAUUCUUUGUUAUUUAUGAAUGGAAUUUAUUGGGAGGAAAUGCAGGAAAGAAUUCAUUUACGUGGAUUGGUCCAAGACAAAGGGUGAACAUUAUGGACCCUGAAAAAAUAAGAGAAAUAUUUACCAAAUUUAAUGACUUCCAGAAGGUGCGUACCAAUCCACUGCUUACUUUGCUUGUAAGCGGCCUUGUUAACCUCGAAGGAGACCGAUGGAGCAAACAUAGAAAAAUCAUAAACCCUUCAUUUCAUCAAGAUAAGUUGAAGGUAUAGAAUAGUGAUGGGUA